rnacentral:rRNA from 1 species
UGGGGAAUUUUGGACAAUGGACGCAAGUCUGAUCCAGCCAUGCCGCGUGCGGGAAGAAGGCCUUCGGGUUGUAAACCGCUUUUGUCAGGGAAGAAACGAGUUUCUCUAAUACAGAGACUUAAUGACGGUACCUGAAGAAUAAGCACCGGCUAACUACGUGCCAGCAGCCGCGGUAAUACGUAGGGUGCAAGCGUUAAUCGGAAUUACUGGGCGUAAAGCGUGCGUAGGUGGUGGUUUAAGUCUGCUGUGAAAGCCCUGGGCUCAACCUGGGACCUGCAUUUGUGACUGCAUCGCUGGAGUGCUGCAGAGGGGGAUGGAAUUCCGCGUGUAGCAGUGAAAUGCGUAGAUAUGCGUAGGCACACCGAUGGCGAAGGCAAUCCCCUGGCCCUGUACUGACGCUCAUGCACGAAAGCGUGGGGAGCAAACA